UUACGGCCACAUCACGUUGAAAUACCGGUUCUCGUACAUCGAAGGUAAGCCACGUCGAGACUGGUCAGUACUUAGAUGGGUGGCCGUUUAGGAAUACCAGGUGCUGUAAG